UACGGGGGGGGCAAGCGUUGUUCGGAAUUACUGGGCGUAAAGGGCUCGUAGGCGGCCAACUAAGUCGGACGUGAAAUCCCCAGGCUCAACCUGGGAACUGCGUCUGAUACUGGAUGGCUUGAAUCCGGGAGAGGGAUGCAGAAUUCCAGGUGUAGCGGUGAAAUGCGUAGAUAUCUGGAGGAAUACCGGUGGCGAAGGCGGCAUCCUGGACCGACACUGACGCUGAGGAGCGAAAGCCAGGGGAGCAAACGGG
rnacentral:rRNA from 1 species